rnacentral:rRNA from 1 species
UACAGAGGAUGCAAGCGUUAUCCGGAAUGAUUGGGCGUAAAGCGUCUGUAGGUGGCUUUUUAAGUCCGCCGUCAAAUCCCAGGGCUCAACUCUGGACAGGCGGUGGAAACUACCAAGCUGGAGUACGGUAGGGGCAGAGGGAAUUUCCGGUGGAGCGGUGAAAUGCGUAGAGAUCGGAAGGAACACCUGUGGCGAAAAGCGGCUCACUGGACCAUUACUGACGCUGAGGCACGAAAGCUAGGGGAGCAAACGG